rnacentral:rRNA from 1 species
AUUGAACGCUGGCGGAAUGCUUUACACAUGCAAGUCGGGCGGCAGCGCGGGACUCAGGCAACUGAGCCCUGGCGGCGAGCGGCGAACGGGUGAGUAAUAUAUCGGAACGUACCCGGAAAUGGGGGAUAACGUAGCGAAAGUUACGCUAAUACCGCAUAUGCCCUAAGGGGGAAAGAGGGGGAUCGCAAGACCUCUUGCUUUAGGAGCGGCCGAUGUCGGAUUAGCUAGUUGGUGAGGUAAAGGCUCACCAAGGCGACGAUCCGUAGCGGGUCUGAGAGGAUGAUCCGCCACACUGGGACUGAGACACGGCCCAGACUCCUACGGGAGGCAGCAGUGGGGAAUUUUGGACAAUGGGCGCAAGCCUGAUCCAGCCAUGCCGCGUGAGUGAAGAAGGCCUUCGGGUUGUAAAGGCUCUUUCGGUUGGGGUAAGGAAAGUUAG